rnacentral:rRNA from 1 species
AGCAAACGCAGGCGGCGUGCCUAAUACAUGCAAGUCGAACGGGGAAAGCUUUCGGGUGAGUACUAGUGGCGCACGGGUGAGUAACGCGUGGAUAAUCUGCCUUAGAGUGGGGGAUAACUAGUCGAAAGAUUAGCUAAUACCGCAUAAGACCACAAGAACUGCGGUUCAAGGGGUCAAAGGUUUUUCGCUCUAAGAUGAGUCCGCGUAAGAUUAGCUAGUUGGUAGGGUAACGGCCUACCAAGGCGACGAUCUUUAACGGGUCUGAGAGGAUGAUCAGUCACACUGGAACUGAGACACGGUCCAGACUCCUACGGGAGGCAGCAGUAGGGAAUAUUGCACAAUGGAGGAAACUCUGAUGCAGCGACGCCGCGUGAGUGAUGAAGGCCUUCGGGUCGUAAAGCUCUGUCGCAGGGGAAUAACACAAUGAAGGUACCCUGUAAGAAAGGAUCGGCUAACUUCGUGCCAGCCGCCGCCGUAAAAC